GAAGAUUCAUUCUCUGGAAAGUAGAAAAGGGCAUGUUACAUACUGUUAUCACUGCAAUGACAGAAACCAUAUUGAGGAGCUGGUCCACCUGUAGGAAGAAUUGCGCUAUUGGUUGGAGCAGCACUAUUACCCAGCCAUACACCAGCACUUAGUUUGUCAUAGGGAGCAUUUCUGAGCAGUUAUGGAGACCACUAACUAUGCAAUUGUUGCAGUAAAAAUUGCACCAGUGUGUUUUCUGUGGAGAUAAAGAGAUAGUGUCCAGCAAUGAAGACCCAACUCAAGAUCUGACCUUGUAAGGCCAAUAUGAAAUAACUGUGUGGGAAAAUGGGAAAAACCUGCAGACAGGAAUGCACGGAAAUCAUCAAAAGAACAGUGUUAAAUUAAUCUUGAAUAACUUGACAUUUACUUUGUUUGACAUAUUUAUUCAUGGUGCAGUGAAAACAUUCUUUUUUUCUCAUGGUUAUUUAAAUUUAGAAUUGAUAGGAGGGAACAUCACUAUGUAGUUUCAUGUUCAUAGUCAGAUCAAAACCCAUGUACAUGCCCAAAUGAGCAUUCGAAAAUAUCAAAAUGGUACUUGUUGUAUGUAGUGUAAGUUAAUUAACAUAAUAAACAAAAAUAUUUAAUCAA